UAUCUGUGCUGUGUCCACCACGAGAGAUGAAAACCCGGUUUUUAGCAGUGUGAGCCUUCAAACUUACCGCUGAUGGUGGUCCCGUUGGAGGGAUUAAAGGUAUUUUUAUGUUUGUUGAUUUUCGUGCAACACCCUUUGCCGCCCAAGUAACAGUCUAGAUGGAAAACGGAUAGUCAACAUCACCCAUCGUCAACUAUUGGGCUACUCUAAUCAAAAAGUGGGAUUGACUGCACAUUAUAACGCGCCCACGGCUGAAAGGGAAAACAUGUCCAGUGGUUGCCGAUUGCGAGUUAAGCCGCCUAACCAGUAGGCCAUACCACGCUUCCAAUUUUUUUAAAUAUAGUCAACUAUGUAAAACAUACUCAUUUUUUUCUGUUUUUCAUUACUAUAUUUUGUAUUUCAUCAAAUUAUUAAGUACAUAAAAAUUCUAUGCACGUGCUAAUUCUUGCCAUAGACUAACUGGAAACAAAAUUUUUGUUAAAAUAUUGCCAAAAGGUUAAUGCGAAUACUGCACGAAAUCUAUUAAACACUGCCCACGCAGAACAAUAAAGUUAUUUAUUUAAUUUCAGGAUGUAAGAUUAAACGGGCAUUCCUCAAUAACGCAUUUCAUAAUUUAAUAAACCAGCACAGGUGUAAAACUAGAGGGGCAUUCAGUAGAGCGCAUACCUACGCCACGCAGCGUUGAUCAUAUUCGGCUCUCAAAAAAUAUGAAAAUGUGUCCGUAUGUCUAUCGUUAUCAACGGACGCGGAUAAUUUUUGGCAGAACAAUGAGAAAUAAUAUUCUAUAUAAGUCCACCGAGUUAUAAAGCAAAAGUAGUGUGAAAAAUCGGUCCCCCUGUUAACAGAUCUUUUGGAUUUUCGCAACUUGGACCUCCAAAAACUAAUCACUUCUAAGUUGGGUCAUAGUCCAAAUGUAUAUCAAAUUUCGUCCAAAUCCAUUUUCGAGAAAUCUUGCUGACAAAAACUCAAACACACACACAGAGAGGUGAAAAGAUAACCUCCAUCCGCCUAUGGUGGUGGAGAUAAGUAUAAUAUUUCAUUCAGUUUUUGUAGGGAUAUUUUAGCAUAUGUUGUGAUAGUUAGUUACACUGAUAAUUAAUUUUCUUCUUUAUUUCUUAAAAGUAACGAAUAUUUUGAUGGAAAUGUUAGGGACAGAAUUUGUUGGGAGCUUCUAAUUAGAUGUGUUUUUGUUUUUAGUAGAGAGAAAGCAAGAAAAUAUUGAAAUAGACCAUGUUUAUGAUAAUGUGUUAAUGCAAAAUUUACUUAUGGCUGUUAAACAACGUAUUUUGUUAAUAUUUCAAGAAAUGAAAUAAAAUAAUUUUCAGAUCUUA